rnacentral:rRNA from 1 species
AGGGUGUAAACGCUGCAGACUUGGUGUUGGGAACCCUUCGGGGGUGUCCAGUGCCGGAGAGAAGUUGUUAAGUCUGCUACUUGGGGAGUACGUCCGCAAGGAUGAAACUUAAAGGAAUUGGCGGGGGAGGCACCGCAACGGGAGGAGCGUGCGGUUUAAUUGGAUUCAACACCGUAAAACUCACCAGGGAAGACUGUUACAUGAAGGCCGAGAUGAAGACUCUGCUAGAUUUUCAGAGAGGUGGUGCAUGGCGUAGACGUCU